UACGGAGGGGGCUAGCGUUGUUCGGAAUUACUGGGCGUAAAGCGUACGUAGGCGGCUUUGCAAGUUAGAGGUGAAAGCCCGGGGCUCAACCCCGGAAUUGCCUUUAAGACUGCAUCGCUUGAACGUCGGAGAGGUGAGUGGAAUUCCGAGUGUAGAGGUGAAAUUCGUAGAUAUUCGGAAGAACACCAGUGGCGAAGGCGGCUCACUGGACGACUGUUGACGCUGAGGUACGAAAGCGUGGGGAGCAAACAGG
rnacentral:rRNA from 1 species